rnacentral:rRNA from 1 species
AAAUUGAAGAGUUUGAUCAUGGCUCAGAUUGAACGCUGGCGGCAGGCCUAACACAUGCAAGUCGAGCGGAAACGAGUUAUUUGAACCUUCGGGGAACGAUAACGGCGUCGAGCGGCGGACGGGUGAGUAAUGCCUAGGAAAUUGCCCUG